rnacentral:tRNA from 1 species
GCAGUCGUGGCCGAGUGGUUAAGGCGACUGACUAGAAAUCAGUUGGGGUCUCCCCGCACAGGUUCGAAUCCUGUCGACUGCG